rnacentral:rRNA from 1 species
GAUGAACGCUGGCGGCGUGCCUAAUACAUGCAAGUCGAGCGAACAGACGAGGAGCUUGCUCCUCUGACGUUAGCGGCGGACGGGUGAGUAACACGUGGAUAACCUACCUAUAAGACUGGGAUAACUUCGGGAAACCGGAGCUAAUACCGGAUAAUAUAUUGAACCGCAUGGUUCAAUAGUGAAAGACGGUUUUGCUGUCACUUAUAGAUGGAUCCGCGCCGCAUUAGCUAGUUGGUAAGGUAACGGCUUACCAAGGCAACGAUGCGUAGCCGACCUGAGAGGGUGAUCGGCCACACUGGAACUGAGACACGGUCCAGACUCCUACGGGAGGCAGCAGUAGGGAAUCUUACGCAAUGGGCGAAAGCCUGACGGAGCAACGCCGCGUGAGUGAUGAAGGUCUUCGGAUCGUAAAACUCUGUUAUUAGGGAAGAACAAAUGUGUAAGUAACUAUGCACGUCUUGACGGUACCUAAUCAGAAAGCCACGGUUAACUACGUG